GAUGAACGCUGGCGGCGUGCAUAACACAUUCAAGUCGAACGGAGAGACACCUUCGGGUGUCGAUUAGUGGCGGACGGGUGAGUAACGCGUGAGUAACCUGCCAUAUAAAGGGGAAUAACACAAGGAAACAUGUGCUAAUACCGCAUAAUAUAUACUUUUGGCAUAAAGAUUAUAUCAAAGUGAGAAAUCAAGAUAUAUGAUGGACUCGCGUCCGAUUAGGCAGUUGGUGAGGUAAAGGCUCACCAAACCGACGAUCGGUAACCGGACUGAGAGGUCGAACGGUCACAUUGGAACUGAGAAACGGUCCAAACUCCUACGGGAGGCAGCAGUGGGGAAUAUUGGGCAAUGGGCGAAAGCCUGACCCAGCGACGCCGCGUGAAGGAAGAAGGUCUUCGGAUUGUAAACUUAUGUCGGUAGGGAAGAAAUAAAUGACGGUACCUACCAAGGAAGCCACGGCUAACUACGUGCCAGCCGCCGCCGUAAUAC
rnacentral:rRNA from 1 species